ACGAAUGGAGCGAGCGUUGUUCGGAAUCAUUGGGCGUAAAGCGUAUGUAGGCGGACUAGAAAGUCGGGAGUGAAAUCCCAGGGCUCAACCCUGGAAUUGCUUCCGAAACUUCUAGUCUAGUGUCCCGGAGGGGUUGACGGAAUUCCUAGUGUAGAGGUGAAAUUCGCAGAUAUUAGGAGGAACACCAGUGGCGUAGGCGGUCAACUGGACGGGUACAGACGCUGAGAUACGAAAGCGUGGGGAGCAAACAGG
rnacentral:rRNA from 1 species